GACAGAGGAUGCAAGCGUUAUCCGGAAUGAUUGGGCGUAAAGCGUCUGUAGGUGGCUUUUUAAGUUCGCCGUCAAAUCCCAGGGCUCAACCCUGGACAGGUGGUGGAAACUACCAAGCUAGAGUACGGUAGGGGCAGAGGGAAUUUCCGGUGGAGCGAUGAAAUGCGUAGAGAUCGGAAGGAACACCCAAGGCGAAAGCACUCUGCUGGGCCGACACUGACACUGAGAGACGAAAGCUAGGGGAGCAAACAGG
rnacentral:rRNA from 1 species